ensembl:snoRNA
GGCACUGUAUGGUAUCUGCAGCCAGCUGCUCCGUCAGCUGCUCUGUUCAAAAGUCAGUGCUAGACGAACUCAGCAUGUGGCAUCGUUGGUCUCCAUGCUGCCUGUGUUUGGAGGCCUGGUUUUUGUUGUUGAAACAUGC